GGCUUGGGGUCUACCUGAUUUGAGGUCAGAAGUCAAAAGGGUUUGUCGCCGAGAUGCGACAGUUAGAAGCGCGGAUUUAUAUCGCCCCAAACACAGUGCAGAUAAUUAUCACACUGAGCAUGAAAGCGAACAUCCACACUAAUGCAUUUGAGAGGAGCUGGGCCUUUUUUUUCCCUCGAGAGGGAGGACGGCCAGCAAAAGACCUCCAAGUCCAAUAUCGCCCGGAAUCCCGCAAGAGACCCAGGGAAUUGAGAAUACCAUGACACUCAAACAGGCAUGCUCCUCGGAAUACCAAGGAGCGCAAGGUGCGUUCAAAGAUUCGAUGAUUCACUGAAUUCUGCAAUUCACAUUACUUAUCGCAUUUCGCUGCGUUCUUCAUCGAUGCGAGAGCCAAGAGAUCCGUUGCUGAAAGUUGUAUUAAAAUGUGUAUAGACACACAUACGAACAUUCUCAAACUGAUUUCAAGGUUUGUAAGAAAAAAAAAAGGCCACAGAAAAGCUCUUAGCGACCAGAACUGAUCGCCGCAAGCCAUUUAUUUCCGUGAAAAGUGCACAAAGGUGUGAGAUGUAUUGACGAGCCAGGCGUGCACAUGCCCCCCAAAAGAAAGGCCAGCCACAGCCCCACUCGAUUUGGAGUUUCAAUAAUGAUCCUUCCGCAGGUUCACCUACGGAAGG
rnacentral:misc_RNA from 1 species